rnacentral:rRNA from 1 species
UACAGAGGGUGCAAGCGUUACUCGGAGUUACUGGGCGUAAAGAGCUCGUAGGUGGUUUGUCGCGUUGUUCGUGAAAACCGGGGGCUUAACCCUCGGCGUGCGGGCGAUACGGGCAGACUUGAGUACUGCAGGGGAGACUGGAAUUCCUGGUGUAGCGGUGGAAUGCGCAGAUAUCAGGAGGAACACCGGUGGCGAAGGCGGGUCUCUGGGCAGUAACUGACGCUGAGGAGCGAAAGCGUGGGGAGCGAACAGG